CUUGGCGACCAUAGUGUUUUGGACCCACCUGAACCCAUUCCGAACUCAGAAGUGAAACGAAAUAGCGUCGAUGGUAGUGUGGGGUUUCCCCAUGUGAGAGUAGAACAUCGCCAGGC
rnacentral:rRNA from 1 species